GACGAACGCUGGCGGCGCGCCUAACACAUGCAAGUCGAACGAGCGAGAGAGAGCUUGCUUUCUCAAGCGAGUGGCGAACGGGUGAGUAACGCGUGAGGAACCUGCCUCAAAGAGGGGGACAACAGUUGGAAACGGCUGCUAAUACCGCAUAAGCCCACGACCCGGCAUCGGGUAGAGGGAAAAGGAGCAAUCCGCUUUGAGAUGGCCUCGCGUCCGAUUAGCUAGUUGGUGAGGUAACGGCCCACCAAGGCGACGAUCGGUAGCCGGACUGAGAGGUUGAACGGCCACAUUGGGACUGAGACACGGCCCAGACUCCUACGGGAGGCAGCAGUGGGGAAUAUUGCACAAUGGGGGAAACCCUGAUGCAGCGACGCCGCGUGGAGGAAGAAGGUCUUCGGAUUGUAAACUCCUGUUGUUGAGGAAGAUAAUGACGGUACUCAACAAGGAAGUGACGGCUAACUACGUG
rnacentral:rRNA from 1 species